CAUGUUGAAACACCAGUUCCGAUAUGAUUGCUGCAGUUAAGCAACAUCAUGCUUGGUAAGUACCUGGAUAGGUGACCGCUUGGGAAUACCAGGUGCUAUA